rnacentral:lncRNA from 1 species
CCGUACUGGUUGUUUGCUUGGGUGAUGGGGGCCAUGUGUCUCCCGCAGGCUAGGCGUGGCUCUUUCACCUGGAGGCAGUAGUAGGGUUUACAGAAGUAACUAGUGACAGCAAGCCUCGUAUAUUUUCUGUUGUCCAUAGGCCAAAGCAGAUCAACAUGGCCAAUUCCAGAGUUGGUAUGGGAGGGGUUUCCUAACUGAGUG